rnacentral:rRNA from 1 species
CCUACGGGUGGCUGCAGUGGGGAAUUUUGCGCAAUGGGCGAAAGCCUGACGCAGCAACGCCGCGUGUGUGACGAAGGCCCUUGGGUUGUAAAGCACUGUGGGCAGGGAAGAAAAAACGGGGGUUGUACCCCGUCUUGACGGUACCUGUUUAGAAAGCACCGGCUAACUCCGUGCCAGCAGCCGCGGUAAUACGGAGGGUGCAAGCGUUGUUCGGAAUUAUUGGGCGUAAAGGGCGUGUAGGUGGCUUACCAAGUCUGGUGUGAAAUCCCACGGCU